rnacentral:rRNA from 1 species
UACGGGGGGGGCAAGCGUUGUUCGGAAUUACUGGGCGUAAAGGGCUCGUAGGUGGCCAACUAAGUCGGACGUGAGAUCCCUCGGCUUAACCGGGGAACUGCGUCCGAUACUGGAUGGCUUGAGUUUGGGAGAGGGAUGCGGAAUUCCAGGUGUAGCGGUGAAAUGCGUAGAUAUCUGGAGGAACACCGGUGGCGAAGGCGGCAUCCUGGACCAACACUGACACUGAGGAGCGAAAGCCAGGGGAGCAAACGGA